UGACUUUUUUUACUUUCAACUUUGAUCAUUUAUAGUUUUCAUUUUCUGCAAAUUUUUCGCUUUAUGCUUGGUUCUAAAUUUUGUGACUUAACACAUCGCAACAUGUUUCUUUGGCUCAACGUAUUUACGUUUCGUUCUAAAUUUUACGAGUUAACACGAUGCAACGUGCGUGUGUGGGUGAACGUUUUCCAUCGUCUAUUUUUUUCCCGUUUGACAGGUUUAACAUAACGUGCAGGUCCUAGAUCGACUUAGUUAUAACUAAAGAAUCCCCGCCGCAUUGCGGCGGGUCGCAAUCCUAGUAUGGAAUAAUGACUCAAUUUGAUUAAUCUGAACCCUCAAAACCCCCCUACCCCCUUUAAAAUCAAGGGUGUAUACCUGAACCCCCUCUUUCUCUCUCUGGACUUUUGGCUCCAUCAAAUUGAGAUUCGGGUUUUGAAUUUUGAAAAGGGUUUGAGCUCCACAAAUCUCAAAUCUGAGACAAGGCUCUCUCUUCCACCACCACUCCAUCCUCUUUCUACAGCAACGGUUCUUCUGCGUCAAGAAGUAGCAAUGGUGGCUAUGGUUCAAGUGGUGGUAGCAUGCGUUGCUUGGGUUCUAACAACAUUAAGUAUUCUGGCAACCACCAGUGAAAACGAGCGCCAUAAACAUAUUCCACUAGGUUUUCUACGAGAUUUCUGGUAUGUGUACAUUGUUAAUGGACAAAUCUGUUUUUUUUUUUUUUUUUUUUUUUUGCGUGUAUAUGUUUCUAUUAUGCAAUUAGUGAACAAACAGAUGGUGGUUGCAAUUUGCAACUACACAUUCUUUAACUCUUCAGUUUCUCUUCUACUCAGACCCCACCUCCUUACUCUUCACAAGCCCUAAAUCAUCUAUCAAAUUUUUGAAUCUACAAGUUAAUUUGAUGAUAUAGUGAAUGUUCAAGUUACAGAUGUUAUUGAAGAUCUAUCAAGGCCUAAUUUGAAGAGAGAAUCUGGAUGCAAAGAUAUUUGACUACCGUUGGUUCCUGAUAAAGCAAAGGGGCUAAAGCUAUGAAUUAAUCUGUUUUUGUACUUUAUUCUUUAUUGUGGUUGGGAGUAUGGAGUUUAGGGGUUGAGAUUACUAUUUGAAGCGCAGGUUUUGGCAAUCUGUUCCAAAAUUACUUCGAUUCUUAUCUUGGUACAUGUAACUAAGCUUGAGACACUUGUAUGUUAUUUGCUAAACUACUGAUGCUUGAUUGAUGUAUUUUAGAGAGUUUUUGAGUCAACAUUUGCUAGAAGAAAGUCUAUUCUAAAGGAAUGGUUCUCAAAGAAGUACAAGCAGCUAACACUCAAGUGAUUAAAUGCGGUUUGUUGCUCAGAUUGACAAUUAUUAUCAGCCUUCUUGAUUUUACUUUUGUAAACAUCAUAGUUUGGUUAUGAUAUUUGUUGUUUUUUUUUUCUACUAGCAGUAGACCCUAGACCACAUACCAUAAACGUCAUAGUGGUAGCAACCAGCUGGUACAUCAAUCUUUAUUCAAUCUACAUUUACACUUAUUAUCUAAUUAGAAAAUUAUAUAUAUUGAUAGUGUAAUACGUAGAAGACACUUUUAUCUUAUUGUAUGUCUCUUUUGCUAUAUAUUCAAGGUCACCUAAGACCUGCUAAUGCAUACAUAUUUAUAAAAGGAAACACCUCAAAUUGUCUUGGUUAACCUACUUGAUGAUUGUGUUGUGCGUGUAUGUGUGUAGAUGUAUGCAAUGUGUGUGCCAGUUACGUUUGGGUUUUUCAAAAUCACAUGUGAAGCAGUAACGAGCAGACUGUUACAUCUCUUCCACAUGUGGUAGAAAAUUCUUGCUGGAACCAUAAGGCGAGAGGCUUUUGUUACCAGAUCGUUUCUUCUCUCUGCAUGAUUCCUCCCGCCUUCUUCAACUUGUGAAGUUCUAUUUGAACAUGUGGUUGCUGGCCAGAUUGGUGUCAUAAGAUUACUGAGAUACUUUGGCAGAGCAAACUUUCGGCGACCUAGACUAGGGUUCCGGUGAGGUUCCAAUCAAAUUCCGCUGAGUCCUAUUUCUUAUGCAUAUCUCAUUUACUUUGAUGUGGGUGUUAUUUCGAAGGAAUUUGUUGUCAUCGUUUGAAACACAUGGAAUAUUGCUAAAGAGGACUCACAAUUAGAAGUAGAUGGUGAUAUGGUGAAGAUAUCAUAUUUUUACUAUUUUCUUUGUACCGAGACGAAAAUUCUAGCGUUUGAUUGUAAGAAAUAUAACACUCACGUCCUGACUCGGCAUGCUUCCCGCCCUACACUGCCCGUUUUGCCUGGUCUAA